UAGAAGCAGCCAUCAUUUAAAGAAAGCGUAAUAGCUCACUGGUCGAGUCGGCCUGCGCGGAAGAUGUAACGGGGCUAAACCAUGCACCGAAGCUGCGGCAGCGACACUGUGUGUUGUUGGGUAGGGGAGCGUUCUGUAAGCCUGUGAAGGUGUGCUGUGAGGCAUGCUGGAGGUAUCAGAAGUGCGAAUGCUGACAUAAGUAACGAUAAAGCGGGUGAAAAGCCCGCUCGCCGGAAGACCAAGGGUUCCUGUCCAACGUUAAUCGGGGCAGGGUGAGUCGACCCCUAAGGCGAGGCCGAAAGGCGUAGUCGAUGGGAAACAGGUUAAUAUUCCUGUACUUGGUGUUACUGCGAAGGGGGGACGGAGAAGGCUAUGUUGGCCGGGCGACGGUUGUCCCGGUUUAAGCGUGUAGGCUGGUUUUCCAGGCAAAUCCGGAAAAUCAAGGCUGAGGCGUGAUGACGAGGCACUACGGUGCUGAAGCAACAAAUGCCCUGCUUCCAGGAAAAGCCUCUAAGCAUCAGGUAACAUCAAAUCGUACCCCAAACCGACACAGGUGGUCAGGUAGAGAAUACCAAGGCGCUUGAGAGAACUCGGGUGAAGGAACUAGGCAAAAUGGUGCCGUAACUUCGGGAGAAGGCACGCUGAUAUGUAGGUGAAGUCCCUCGCGGAUGGAGCUGAAAUCAGUCGAAGAUACCAGCUGGCUGCAACUGUUUAUUAAAAACACAGCACUGUGCAAACACGAAAGUGGACGUAUACGGUGUGACGCCUGCCCGGUGCCGGAAGGUUAAUUGAUGGGGUCAGCGCAAGCGAAGCUCUUGAUCGAAGCCCCGGUAAACGGCGGCCGUAACUAUAACGGUCCUAAGGUAGCGAAAUUCCUUGUCGGGUAAGUUCCGACCUGCACGAAUGGCGUAAUGAUGGCCAGGCUGUCUCCACCCGAGACUCAGUGAAAUUGAACUCGCUGUGAAGAUGCAGUGUACCCGCGGCAAGACGGAAAGACCCCGUGAACCUUUACUAUAGCUUGACACUGAACAUUGAGCCUUGAUGUGUAGGAUAGGUGGGAGGCUUUGAAGUGUGGACGCCAGUCUGCAUGGAGCCGACCUUGAAAUACCACCCUUUAAUGUUUGAUGUUCUAACGUGGACCCGUGAUCCGGGUUGCGGACAGUGUCUGGUGGGUAGUUUGACUGGGGCGGUCUCCUCCUAAAGAGUAACGGAGGAGCACGAAGGUUGGCUAAUCCUGGUCGGACAUCAGGAGGUUAGUGCAAUGGCAUAAGCCAGCUUGACUGCGAGCGUGACGGCGCGAGCAGGUGCGAAAGCAGGUCAUAGUGAUCCGGUGGUUCUGAAUGGAAGGGCCAUCGCUCAACGGAUAAAAGGUACUCCGGGGAUAACAGGCUGAUACCGCCCAAGAGUUCAUAUCGACGGCGGUGUUUGGCACCUCGAUGUCGGCUCAUCACAUCCUGGGGCUGAAGUAGGUCCCAAGGGUAUGGCUGUUCGCCAUUUAAAGUGGUACGCGAGCUGGGUUUAGAACGUCGUGAGACAGUUCGGUCCCUAUCUGCCGUGGGCGCUGGAGAACUGAGGGGGGCUGCUCCUAGUACGAGAGGACCGGAGUGGACGCAUCACUGGUGUUCGGGUUGUCAUGCCAAUGGCACUGCCCGGUAGCUAAAUGCGGAAGAGAUAAGUGCUGAAAGCAUCUAAGCACGAAACUUGCCCCGAGAUGAGUUCUCCCUGACCCUUUAAGGGUCCUGAAGGAACGUUGAAGACGACGACGUUGAUAGGCCGGGUGUGUAAGCGCAGCGAUGCGUUGAGCUAACCGGUACUAAUGAACCGUGAGGCUUAACCUUACAACGCCGAAGGUGUUU
rnacentral:rRNA from 1 species